rnacentral:rRNA from 1 species
UACGUAGGGUGCGAGCGUUAAUCGGAAUUACUGGGCGUAAAGUGUGCGCAGGCGGUCGUUCAAGUCGCGUGUGAAAGCCCCCGGCUCAACUGGGGAGGGUCACGCGAUACUGAUCGACUCGAAGGCAGGAGAGGGAAGUGGAAUUCCCGGUGUAGUGGUGAAAUGCGUAGAUAUCGGGAGGAACACCAGUGGCGAAGGCGGGUCUCUGGGCCGAUACUGACGCUGAGGAGCGAAAGCGUGGGGAGCAAACAGG